rnacentral:rRNA from 1 species
AGAACGAACGCUGGCGGCAGGCUUAACACAUGCAAGUCGAGCGAGGACUUCGGUCCUAGCGGCGGACGGGUUAGUAACGCGUGGGAACGUGCCCCUUUCCUCGGAAUAGCCUCGGGAAACUGGGAGUAAUGCCGAAUACGCCGAGCCAUUGAGAGAUGGUUUGGGAAAGAUUUAUCGGAGAGGGAUCGGCCCGCGUUGGAUUAGGUAGUUGGUGGGGUAAUGGCAUACCAAGCCGACGAUCCAUAGCUGGUUUGAGAGGAUGAUCAGCAACACUGGGACUGAGACACGGCCCAGACUCCUACGGGAGGCAGCAGUGGGGAAUCUUGGACAAUGGGGGCAACCCUGAUCCAGCCAUGCCGCGUGAUCGAUGAAGGCCUUAGGGUUGUAAAGAUCUUUCAGCGGGAAGAUAAUGACGGUACCGCAGAAGAAGCCCCGGCUAACUCCGUGCCAGCAGCCGC